GAGAGGGUGAUCGGCCACACUGGAACUGAGACACGGUCCAGACUCCUACGGGAGGCAGCAGUGGGGAAUAUUGGGCAAAUGGGCGAAAGCCUGACCCAGCAACGCCGCGUGAGGGAUGACAGCGCUACGCGUUGUAAACUUCUUUUGUACAGGAAGAAACGCUUCUACGUGUAGAAGUCUGACGGUACUGUACGAGUAAGCAUCGGCUAACUCCGUGCCAGCAGCCGCGGUAAUACGGAGGAUGCAAGCGUUAUCCGGAUUUAUUGGGUUUAAAGGGUACGUAGGCGGAAAAAUUAAGUCAGUAGUGAAAUCCUGCAGCUUAACUGUAGAACUGUUAUUGAUACUGGUUUUCUUGAAUAUAGUUGAGGUAGGCGGAAUGUGUAAUGUAGCGGUGAAAUGCUUAGAUAUUACACAGAACACCGAUUGCGAAGGCAGCUUACUAAGCUAUGAUUGACGCUGAGGUACGAAAGCGUGGGGAGCGAACAGGAUUAGAUACCC
rnacentral:rRNA from 1 species